rnacentral:rRNA from 1 species
GCUAACUCCGUGCCAGCAGCCGCGGUAAUACGGAGGGUCCGAGCGUUAAUCGGAAUUACUGGGCGUAAAGCGUGCGCAGGCGGUUUGUUAAGCGAGAUGUGAAAGCCCCGGGCUCAACCUGGGAAUUGCAUUUCGAACUGGCGAACUAGAGUCUUGUAGAGGGGGGUAGAAUUCCAGGUGUAGCGGUGAAAUGCGUAGAGAUCUGGAGGAAUACCGGUGGCGAAGGCGGCCCCCUGGACAAAGACUGACGCUCAGGCACGAAAGCGUGGGGAGCAAACAGGAUUAGAUACCCUGGUAGUCCACGCCGUAAACGAUGUCUACUCGGAGUUUGGUGUCUUGAACACUGGGCUCUCAAGCUAACGCAUUAAGUAGACCGCCUGGGGAGUACGGCCGCAAGGUUAAAACUCAAAUGAAUUGACGGGGGCCCGCACAAGCGGUGGAGCAUGUGGUUUAAUUCGAUGCAACGCGAAGAACCUUACCUACUCUUGACAU